rnacentral:tRNA from 1 species
CACUAUGUAGCUUAAAUAAAAGCCUUAGCCUCUUAAGCUGUAAGAUACAGACCUGUUAUAGUGA